rnacentral:lncRNA from 1 species
GCAAUGAGCCGAGAUAGAGCCACUGCACUCCAGCCUGGGCGACAGAGAGAGAUUCUGCCUCAAAAAAAAAAAACAAACAAUAAAUAAAAAUAAAAAAAAGCUGACCGAAAGAGAAUGGAAGUAGAAAUCCUUCAUGUGUCAUUGGGACAGUAAUGUGGGUUGUUAUCAGUGUCUACUGUUAUUGAGGGUAGAAGAUGAGGUGAAGAAACCAAGGGAACACAUGACUAAGUGACACAUUUGAGAGAGCCCAGGGAGUGGAGGCCAGAGUUCAGACUUGGGCACAGAGGAUCCAGAGCCACCUUCUUGGUUAUCGCAUGGAUAGAAAUCUAGAAGUGGAAUUGCUGAGCUGUAGAGUAUGUGAAUCUCUACAACUUUCAACUUUGCCAUGUAUUGUCAAAUUGCUCUCCAAAGUGAUGGUACCAAUUAAUGAUACUACCAAUAAGAGAAAGGCUCAAUUUAGCAGCAGAGCAAACUGGACGUUUUCUCACCAUUUGUUUCACCAGAGAAAGGAAGGGACAGCAACUUGGAGUCUGGAGCUGACGCAGAGGAUGUUUCUUGAUAUCUUCAAAUUGAACCUGUCUCACUUGACAGAUUUAUGCUGCCAGAGUGGUUCUUCUAGUAAGAAGCCCCUUGUCAUCAGACACUGCAUUUCACUUGGUGAUUUUCCAGACUCCUCAAAUCUUUUAUGGAAAGAGAGUUUCACCUGCCACCUGGAUCGUUUCCUAUUUUUCUGCAGCCACUUCAGGGCGGGGACCCAGUAUCACGAAGCUGCAAGAUUUGCUGCCAGUUUUCCAUCCAUCCCCCAGGGCUGAGAUGAGGUGAGAGGCCGCAAAGACUGUCUAUGAAGAUAGGCAAUUCCAUUCAUUCUGAAGUCCUCACAUAGUAGUUAUUCAGUGAAUGUACCCUGGGAAAUAGUAAUAUCAAUGAUUUUGCAGGGUAUAUCCUGUUUGUUCCUCCAGAUCCACUUUUCACCUUUCUCCUUACCUGCUUUGUGCUUCGGGAAACUGACUUCAACAGACAGCAUCAUCUGGGCUUCUUUACCCUGGAGUGUUCAGCUGAGUUCAGCCAAUGGAAUACCCUAGUAGAAGACUGGAAGGAUAGAGGAGAGAAAGAUUGGAAUAUUUAUUCCCAUCUCAUACUACAGUUUUUGUCGUGAUGGUUCUUCCUAUUGGACAGCUUCCACCUAUAACUACAGUUCUCUCCUGGUUCCAGAAACUGCUUUCUCUACUUCUGACCUAGGAGUAGCCACAGCUCCCAGCUGUUGUUAGACCCCAAGGUGUAUUUUGUCAUCUCUUGUUACUUCCUUUAACCCUGCCACAGCUCUGAAAAUAGUCCAGUAAUUAAAUACUUUUUGAGCUA